AUUGAACGCUGGCGGCAGGCCUAACACAUGCAAGUCGAACGGUAGCACAGAGAGCUUGCUCUCGGGUGACGAGUGGCGGACGGGUGAGUAAUGUCUGGGAAACUGCCCGAUGGAGGGGGAUAACUACUGGAAACGGUAGCUAAUACCGCAUAACGUCGCAAGACCAAAGUGGGGGACCUCCGGGCCUCACACCAUCGGAUGUGCCAAGAUGGGAUUAGCUAGUAGGCGGGGUAAUGGCCAACCUAGGGGACGAUCCCUAGCUGGUCAGAGAGAAUGAGCAGCCACACUGGAACUGAGACACGGUCCAGACUCCUACGGGAGGCAGCAGUGGGGAAUAUUGCACAAUGGGCGCAAGCCUGAUGCAGCCAUGCCGCGUGUAUGAAGAAGGCCUUCGGGUUGUAAAGUACCUUCAGCGGGGAGGAAGGCGGUGAAGUUAAUAACUUCACCGAUUGACGUUACCCGCAGAAGAAGCACCGGCUAACUCCGUGCCAGCCGCCGCGGUAA
rnacentral:rRNA from 1 species